GUUUUUCAAGUCAUUACAUUGUAGAGAUACAGGAAAAGUAGUUUAGGUCAUAAAGUAGUCGUAUUUUAAAGUUAAACGCUGGAUAUAAUGGAUUCAUGAGUUGUAAACAUCCUUUUCGCUGUGUGUUCAUCUGUAAAUAGGUUCUACUCUCCCCUCCAUGGAGCGGUCUAGAAGAGGAAGGUUCUCAGGCGGCCAGCUGGCCUAAGGAAAUGUUCCAUGUAGAGGCUGGGCUGCAGACCCAGCCCUCCACGCCCUGACUUUAGUUUACAUCCCAACAUGACCACCUGAGAACCUGAAUAUUUGAAUAGCAAUGCCUAGUAUUUGGAUAUUUGUGUCCAGGUCCAUAUGUGUUGGUUUAAAUAGUGGAACACUGUGGCCUCAGCUGGCCUACUGAGUGAGCAGAACGUCUGCGUUAAAACAGGUCUCAGUUGGAUGGAUUUCCAAAGUGGAAUGAAGGGCAGGUGAAGCGUUUGCUAAAAAGCUACAGCCAGCGAUCUUAACAAGAAAGGCUGAUAACGAAUCUCCUUGUUGAAGUCCUUAUCAUGUCAAAGGAGAAGAGAUAGUACAGUUUAUAAACAACAACAACCCUCUGUGAUUCAGGACUCUAGGAUGUCGGGCUGAUGUAUUCAAUAAUCUGACAGAUCCUCACCUUGUCUCAGUAGGCUGAUUUCCGUCUCCAAACCUAACAGGUAGUGUCAAAGAGCAGUCACUCUUCAUGGAGACACCGCUGGGUUCAGGGGAAUCUGCUCUCUCCUGCUGGACUCUUCUAGAUAAUUUUAGAAUCAAAUGUUUUAUUGUUUUUCAAGUCAUUACAUUGUAGAGAUACAAUAAAAGCAGUUUAGGGCAUAAAGUGCUUAUUUUAAAGUUCUACGCUGGAUAUAAUGGAUUCAUGACCUGGAAACGCCCUUCUAGCUGUGUGUUGAUAUGUAAAUAGGUUCUGAUCACCCCUCCAUGGAGCGGUCUAAAAG
ensembl:lncRNA